AGUCAUCAGUUGUCCGAGACUGUCAGAAACAACCCUGUACACAACGUAAAAAAGUGUGUAGACCUACAGAAUCACCGGCAAAGGAAGAAGCAGGCGCCGCCGGUACUGGCUGAAACCAUCCCUGAGAGCCAUGGCAUGGCAGCAGGUAAAGAUAGAACUCUUCCCGACCCUGUCAUCCUUGAGGCAGGAGUCACGGAUGAGGGAGACCCGACGCCGUCUGAGCCGGCAACCCUCUCCGAUUCCGAUCUACCUGCAACCCUCUCCAACCUGGUCAAUCAUACCUGAGAUCUAUCAUAGCACCACGCGUGAACAAGGCCGUGAACCCCAUUUCUUCCAGCACGACAGUGGACCAGGACAGAUUUCUUAUCUUCACAACGAAACCCAUCUAAGAAUUCUGUCGGCCAUGUGUUUGCAGAUGGAUCAUUCAAGAAGAUCCCAUCUUUAUGCCAGGAGGUGCACACCAUUCACAGGAUGCAACCCACCUACUUGAUGGAGUCAAUUGUUUAUGCAGCAGCCUAUAUUGUUAUGACAGAUAAGUCUGAGCAAACAUGUCGUUGCAACACAUAUACUUGUGCGUUCCAAGUGCUGAAGAGCCUGCGACCCACCACGUCAAGAUGUUCUACACACUCGCAUUUGUUCUGCCGGCUGACGCGGUGAAGUGUUUCAAGGAGCUGAAGGAAACGACAUUCUUUUAGGUACCGGAGCUGUCCACCUUUCUGGAGAACUUUGAGAAGACGUGGAUUGGCAGAGGAGAGCAAGCCCUGGAAUAUAACAUGGAAAUGUGUAACUACCACGAUGUUGUCCUACAAGACAUCUGGAAGACCAACAGCAUAGUGAAGGCCUGGUAUCGGUCACUUGGGUUAUUUUUUGAGAAGACCAGACAACCCACGAUCUGGGAGUUGAUUAACAACUUGUGACUCCUUGUGACGACUACUCAUUACCAAACUGUGGCCUAAAUGUUCUUACCCCUGCGUCUAUUUGUGUUUUUAAUGCAGGCACUUCUUUUUUUGCUAUUUUCCAUUUUCGAUGCAAACUUUUUUGUUAAACUAGGCUUUUUGUAAAUAAACUUUUCAUUGUAAA